GACGAACGCUGGCGGCGUGCUUAACACAUGCAAGUCGAACGGUACGAGUGAGAUAAGUUUACUUAACUCACAAGUUAGUGGCGGACGGGUGAGUAACACGUGGAUAAUCUACCUGCAACACCGGGAUAACGCUGUGAAAACGGUGCUAAUACCGGAUACGUUCCCUUGUGCGCAUGUAUGAGGGAAGAAAGCUCAGGCGGUUGCAGAUGAGUCCGCGGCUGAUUAGCUAGUUGGUGAGGUAAAGGCUCACCAAGGCGAUGAUCAGUAGCCGGCCUGAGAGGGUGAACGGCCACACUGGGACUGAGACACGGCCCAGACUCCUACGGGAGGCAGCAGUGGGGAAUCUUCCGCAAUGGGCGCAAGCCUGACGGAGCAACGCCGCGUGGGUGAAGAAGGCCUUCGGGUUGUAAAGCCCUGUCUUAUGGGAAGAAGUCAGUGACGGUACCAUAGGAGGAAGCCACGGCUAACUACGUG
rnacentral:rRNA from 1 species